UUCACCAGUCUUCAGUAAGAAAAUAUUGCUUCUUAGGCAAACAGUCAAAACUGGAUGCUAUAUGCAGAAAUCCAAGACACUUAAAAACUGGAAAUGAAUUCAGUAUGGAUAGAGUGUGUCUGUGAAGGCACCUCCAGGAUUAUGGCAGUUUGGGAGGAGCAGUAGCAGUUCCAGGACUUCUCUAGGAGUGGCAAAAAGAAAUUGUGACUUAACUUUGACACCUUACACUAAAUUUUGGAGAUACUUAGGCAAGAACUGAUGAAGAUCCUGACAAGAGAGAACUGGUGCCCUGCCUCCAUGGGAGUUUUGUCGAUCAUCUGCAGAUUCUUGAAGCUGAAAACUUCUCAAGUGACUCUGGUCAGAAGAAGAGGACACAGCAACGAGGAGCAGGUUGUGUUCUGAGAGAGAGGCUGCUGCCUCCCAAUAGGACUAUAAAUGGGCAAAACCAGUUCACAGGUAUGCAAUGGCCAUGAGCUAACCCGUGUCUAAAGCAGCACCAAAGGGAAGAGAACUCUUCAAUGAAAAUAAUUUUUGAAAGGCACUCAUGUAUUUGGGUCCUUUUCAGACACAGGCCCAAGUCAUGUUGCAGAGCCCUGGUUAACGUUUGAAGAUGGUUCCUUCAUCACUUACAAAAG